UGUGAUGUCAAAUUAAGAAUAUAUGAUCUUUUUUAUCUUACAUGAUGAAGCCAGUUGCUCGUCUUCUAAUGUUUGUGGGAGCUCUGUCUUUGAGAAUCUCCCUUUUUAUGUAAUCGUCUCCUUCUAUCAGCUACAAAGUGUUUAAAUGUAAGUAUCUCUCUUGUCAUGGCAGGGAAGUUGGGAGUAAGAUGAAACAAUCAAAGAUGCAGCACAAUGUAAGAUGGUGGGGGAAGCUGGAGUGAAGUUGAGUGUAAACUGGGACCAUGGUACUUCGAGAACAAUGCUGGUAACUUCGCCUAUGUAGCAGAACAACCUGAAUCUUGGCCUGUGAUAGAUGAAUGUGUGUAAGGCAAGAAAGCUGUGCCAAAACGGGUGAACAAUAGAAGCAAUAGUAAGUCGUGUCACAUCACAAAGCAAGAGGAGCAGAGAGGAACUGUUUCCAGGAAUCGAACGUACUUCCAGUGGUUGAGCAAGCUCAAAUAUUUUCUCCCCCACUACCAAGUUCUACUGAAGAAGCAUAAUCUCCAUUCAUAUCGUAUCAACAUGAUAGAAAUAGUUUGUUAAUAUGAAGCACAACAAAUUAUCCAUCUAGCACUAGGAUUAAGUAUAACUAAUACUAGUGGAUAUAAUCUUGAUGAUGUUACUAUUACAUUUGUAGAUAAAUUAACCACUUAAAUUAUGUCACAUCCUUUAAUUGUAUUGCAUUACUCUCAUUAGUGGAUAUUCAGAUU